UACGGGGGGGGCAAGCGUUGUUCGGAAUUACUGGGCGUAAAGGGCUCGUAGGCGGCCAACUAAGUCGGACGUGAAAUCCCCAGGCUCAACCUGGGAACUGCGUCCGAUACUGGAUGGCUUGAAUCCGGGAGAGGGAUGCAGAAUUCCAGGUGUAGCGGUGAAAUGCGUAGAUAUCAGGAAGAACACCUAUGGCGAAGGCAGCACUCUGGGACGGUACUGACGCUGAGACGCGAAAGCGUGGGGAGCGAACAGG
rnacentral:rRNA from 1 species